UACAGAGGGGGCAAGCGUUGUUCGGAUUCACUGGGCGUAAAGGGUGCGUAGGUGGUGAGGUAAGUCGGAUGUGAAAUCUCCAAGCUCAACUUGGAAACUGCAUUGGAAACUACCUUGCUAGAGGAUUUGAGGGGGGAUUGGAAUACUUGGUGUAGCAGUGAAAUGCGUAGAUAUCAAGUGGAACACCAGUGGCGAAGGCGAAUCCCUGGAAAAUACCUGACACUGAGGCACGAAAGCUAGGGGAGCAAACAGG
rnacentral:rRNA from 1 species